AUUCCAGCUCCAAUAGCGUAUAUUAAAGUUGUUGCAGUUAAAAAGCUCGUAGUUGGAUUUCUGGCGGUGUGACUCCGGCCGGCAUGACGUCGGGUCCAGAGCGCGCCACCAUCCUUCCGUCAACCUUCGCGGGAUUCGCUUCCCGCGAUGUGGGCUCAGAUAUUUUACCUUGAGAAAAUUAGAGUGUUUCAGGCAGGCUUUCGCCGGAAUACAUUAGCAUGGAAUAAUAGAAAAGGACUUCAACCUCUUCUGUUGGUCUGAGGGGCUGUAGUAAUGAUUAAUAGGGAUAGUUGGGGGCAUUAGUACUUGACUGUCAGAGGUGAAAUUCUCCGAUUUGUUAAAGACUAACUUAUGCGAAAGCAUUUGCCAAGGAUGUUUUCAUUG
rnacentral:rRNA from 1 species